UCUGGCUUAAUGUUCAAGCUCUAAAGUCAACGCUCAAUAAAUCAAACAAAACAACAUUGAAUUUGAUGCCCGGUUGAUCGCGAUAAACGGUUAACUGAAUGAUCUGGAAAUUGUCGAAGCUGCUGCAAAAAAACUGGAAAGCUCGUUUGCGCCAGGACCUGACGGAAUCCCAUCAGCUAUUUAUUGUCGAUGCAUCGAAGCAGUAUCAUCACCUCUGGCUCGAAUUUUUAACCGGUCUUUCCAGCAACGGAAAUUUCCAGAGAUGUGGAAAACUUUGUUUAUGUUUCCGAUUUUCUAAAAUUGGCGAACGUCGGAACGUUAAACAAUACCGAGGAAUCACUAGCUUGUCCGCAGGUUCCAAGCUGUUCGAGAUAAUAGUUAGUCAAGCCUUACUACAGGCUUCAUUGCAAUAUAUUGCUUCGGAACAACAUGGGUUUAUGCCUGGAAGAUCGACGAUGGAACCAAGUCAAUCGAGUGCCAGGUCGACCAAGUCAAUCAAGUCAACACAGUAAAUCCUUCCAAUUUCGUGGUAGCUCUGGGCAACAAGUUGAGAAAGUGGAGUGCUUCCAGUAUCUUGGUAGCCAGAUAACGCCUGAUGAUGACCAGAAAAGACAUCGAAACCCGGAUCAGAAAGGCCCGAUUUGCGUUUGCGAGUGACCGGAACAUCUGGUAGUCACGCAAGAUCUCACUACGAACGAAAAUCCGAAUCUCCAACUCAAAUGUCAAAUCCGUAUUGUUGUAUGAGUUUGAAACUUGGUGCACAUAUGCGGUAACGACGCGAAAACUACAGCCCUAUGCACCGGAGGAUCGGCGCGGGAACAUUAACAAUCCCACAUACCUGUACCACUCGAUGCGGACCGCAUCAUCAUCCAAACGUGAAUUGGAACCGGGCGGAUUGCUUCCUCCAGCAUGAUUUGACGAACUGCUUCCAAUAUGGCACUUGAGAACGACAGUUCCUCCCUUUUCUGCACUCUCAUGUUUGACCAGCUGGACCACCGGAUUGAUUGUGUCUGUAGGAAAAAAAGAAAAACAGAAACGAUAUAAGAAUUUUAAAGUUACUCUCUAAAUUUGUUGACAAAGGACAUCUGAGAAAUAUAAAACUUUCAAGAAUAAGAUAAACCGAAUACCGUCGAUUGACUCACUAAACGCUACGCGUUCUCGGAGGAUGAAGCUCAACAUUAUUGCCCUAAUCAAUGGUUAUCGGAAAAGUUUCGCUCGGCGAAAAGCGGACCAUUUCUCACCGAGACACAUCUUCUCGGCUUCACACCCCAGCAAUUGUCGAGUCUUUGUGGAAAAACUUUUUCGUUCAACUUACGCCGAUACCCUCUCAGUAUACAGUUUGUUGGACAAAGAAGAUGAACGAAAAAAAAACUAAGCCCGAAUCACGCGACAAUAACCGCGAACGAAACGGCCGUCGAUGUUGCUCCCCGCCGUAAGAACGAGAAAAAAAAAUACGGCAAAACUAAUAAAAUCUGAUUGGCCAUUGAAUCGAAUCGAAUUUCGAUUUAUCAUAUUACCACGU